UUUUUUUUUAUACAUGUAUAAUGUUAUUUCUGAAAGCAAAUGGACAAUAAGAUAAUGAGGACAUGGACCUCCUUGGCAGUUAUGAUAGCAGCUCUAAGGAAGAUGGUCAAUUAUAUCUUCAACCAAGUCUGAGGCUUUACCAGGAAAAAUCUGUGGUGAGUUGAAAUGUUUCACAAAAUUUAUAAUAAUAUUAUUAUAGACUUUUAAAACUUUUUAUUUAUUAAGGGUUUUUGUGUGAUAUUGAAGAUAUCUGCAUCAUUUCAUAACAUUUUUUUAUAACUUGUAUUUAAUGAAAAUGUUUUCUACCUUAUGUAUCAAGUCAAUAUUUUGAAGAUAUUAUAUAACAAAUUCAUAAGAAAUGAUACAAGGCAUAAUUAUGUUUCUCUCCUCUUUUAAACAUUUUUUUUUAUUUCAGGUUGUUGAAAUUACAAUGUUAACCUGGUGUAGGGAGUAAGACAUGGAUAUCUGAUAUUGUUAACAUGUUGGUAGGUAUUAAAGCUUUUAUUUUUAAUAAUUUUAAUAGUAUUUGACAUCAAUAAAUUUUUUGAAGGUUUGAAAUACUAUACAAUAUGAUGAAAUACAAGUUUAUUUUUUGCUAACUUAAUAAAAUUGAAAAUGUAAAUCGGGAAUGUGUUGGAGAGAUAAAAAAAAAACUUACAAAGGGCAAAAAACAUAACCAUUAGUUUGAUUUUGAAUACCAAUUAUUUUCUUGCAGAAUUUUGUUUGUUAUCUGAGAACUUUUAAACAAUUAUUAUGAUGUACAUAUUUUUUGAAAGUUGAGAGAAUAACUGACCUUGAACUUUGUUUUACAGGUUAGCAUCACAAGUUUCCUUGGGGUUACUUGCUUGGGGAGUUAUUAGAGCUGUUUUAAGGUGAGAAUUUA
rnacentral:lncRNA from 1 species